UACGUAGGGUGCGAGCGUUAAUCGGAUUUACUGGGCGUAAAGCGUGCGCAGGCGGCCCGUUAAGACAGGUGUGAAAUACCUGGGCUCAACCUAGGAAUUGCGCUUGUGACUGGCGGGCUCGAGUACGGUAGAGGGGGGUGGAAUUCCUGGUGUAGCAGUGAAAUGCGUAGAGAUCAGGAGGAACACCGAUGGCGAAGGCAGCCCCCUGGGCCUGUACUGACGCUCAUGCACGAAAGCGUGGGGAGCAAACAGG
rnacentral:rRNA from 1 species